UGAGUAACACGUGAGUAACCUGCCCUUGACUCUGGGAUAAGCCUGGGAAACUGGGUCUAAUACCGGAUAUGACCAUCUGACGCAUGUCAUGGUGGUGGAAAGCUUUUGUGGUUUUGGAUGGACUCGCGGCCUAUCAGCUUGUUGGUGGGGUAAUGGCCUACCAAGGCGACGACGGGUAGCCGGCCUGAGAGGGUGACCGGCCACACUGGGACUGAGACACGGCCCAGACUCCUACGGGAGGCAGCAGUGGGGAAUAUUGCACAAUGGGCGGAAGCCUGAUGCAGCGACGCCGCGUGAGGGAUGACGGCCUUCGGGUUGUAAACCUCUUUCAGUAGGGAAGAAGCGUAAGUGACGGUACCUGCAGAAGAAGCGCCGGCUAACUACGUGCCAGCAGCCGCGGUAAUACGUAGGGCGCAAGCGUUAUCCGGAAUUAUUGGGCGUAAAGAGCUCGUAGGCGGUUUGUCGCGUCUGCUGUGAAAGACCGGGGCUCAACUCCGGUUCUGCAGUGGGUACGGGCAGACUAGAGUGCAGUAGGGGAGACUGGAAUUCCUGGUGUAGCGGUGAAAUGCGCAGAUAUCAGGAGGAACACCGAUGGCGAAGGCAGGUCUCUGGGCUGUAACUGACGCUGAGGAGCGAAAGCAUGGGGAGCGAACAGGAUUAGAUACCCUGGUAGUCCAUGCCGUAAACGUUGGGCACUAGGUGUGGGGGACAUUCCACGUUUUCCGCGCCGUAGCUAACGCAUUAAGUGCCCCGCCUGGGGAGUACGGCCGCAAGGCUAAAACUCAAAGGAAUUGACGGGGGCCCGCACAAGCGGCGGAGCAUGCGGAUUAAUUCGAUGCAACGCGAAGAACCUUACCAAGGCUUGACAUGAACCGGAAAGACCUGGAAACAGGUGCCCCGCUUGCGGUCGGUUUACAGGUGGUGCAUGGUUGUCGUCAGCUCGUGUCGUGAGAUGUUGGGUUAAGUCCCGCAACGAGCGCAACCCUCGUUCUAUGUUGCCAGCGCGUGAUGGCGGGGACUCAUAGGAGACUGCCGGGGUCAACUCGGAGGAAGGUGGGGACGACGUCAAAUCAUCAUGCCCCUUAUGUCUUGGGCUUCACGCAUGCUACAAUGGCCGGUACAAAGGGUUGCGAUACUGUGAGGUGGAGCUAAUCCCAAAAAGCCGGUCUCAGUUCGGAUUGGGGUCUGCAACUCGACCCCAUGAAGUCGGAGUCGCUAGUAAUCGCAGAUCAGCAACGCUGCGGUGAAUACGUUCCCGGGCCUUGUACACACCGCCCGUCARGUCACGAAAGUUGGUAACACCCGAAGCCGGUGGCCUAACC
rnacentral:rRNA from 1 species